rnacentral:rRNA from 1 species
ACAGUUCGGUCCAUAUCCAUCGCGGGCGUAAGAUACAUGAGGGAGACUGCUCCUAGUACGAGAGGACCGGAGUGGACGGACCGCCGGUGUACCAGUUGUUUCGCCAGAAGCACAGCUGGGUAGCUGCGUCCGGAAGGGAUAAACGCUGAAAGCAUCUAAGCGUGAAGCCCGUCCCGAGAUGAAGUAUCUCAUAGCACAAGCUAGUAAGACACCUUGAAGAAGACAAGGUUGAUAGGGUAGAUGUGGAAGUGCUGCAAGGCAUGAAGCUGACUACUACUAAUAUGUCGAGGGCUUAACUAG